GUGGAGAAGUGAAAGCAAGCACUGCAGCUAUAACAGAUUCAUGAAGCACCUUCAAUUCCUCUUUGCCUAAAAUAGUGAAAAAAAACCGAACAAGACUUUUGACAAAUGAGGGUAUGGAAGAUAUUUCACCAAACAAAUGAUGUUUUGUCCAUAGCAACAAGGUUGGUCUAGUGUUCUUUUUUCUUUCAAGAUUGCUGGUUUGGUCGAUUAAUGUGCUGGAAGCUUCAACGCAUUAUAAGGUUGUCAUUUGCGCCCCUUUUUUGGGGGCUAACUAUGAUUUAUGUGGCUUCCUGUGAUCCUGAUGUUGGGUGAUUGAAAGUUUUGAGAAUCUUUUGAAGCAGCUCAAGUCGUGAAUUAGUAAGAAACUUUGGUGCUCAUUGGGCUUGUACUGGCUGUUGGAACUGUUCUGUUGAACAUCAUAGGUUUUGUUUGUUAAUCUAUAUGUAUUUGUAAAAAUACAUUACUCUUUAUCAGGUUUGCCUCUCCAUAUACCUUGA
rnacentral:misc_RNA from 1 species